AGAGUUUGAUCCUGGCUCAGGAUGAACGCUGGCGGCGUGCCUAAUACAUGCAAGUCGAGCGAACAGACGAGGAGCUUGCUCCUCUGACGUUAGCGGCGGACGGGUGAGUAACACGUGGAUAACCUACCUAUAAGACUGGGAUAACUUCGGGAAACCGGAGCUAAUACCGGAUAAUAUAUUGAACCGCAUGGUUCAAUAGUGAAAGACGGUUUUGCUGUCACUUAUAGAUGGAUCCGCGCCGCAUUAGCUAGUUGGUAAGGUAACGGCUUACCAAGGCAACGAUGCGUAGCCGACCUGAGAGGGUGAUCGGCCACACUGGAACUGAGACACGGUCCAGACUCCUACGGGAGGCAGCAGUAGGGAAUCUUCCGCAAUGGGCGAAAGCCUGACGGAGCAACGCCGCGUGAGUGAUGAAGGUCUUCGGAUCGUAAAACUCUGUUAUUAGGGAAGAACAAAUGUGUAAGUAACUAUGCACGUCUUGACGGUACCUAAUCAGAAAGCCACGGCUAACUACGUGCCAGCAGCCGCGGUAAUACGUAGGUGGCAAGCGUUAUCCGGAAUUAUUGGGCGUAAAGCGCGCGUAGGCGGUUUUUUAAGUCUGAUGUGAAAGCCCACGGCUCAACCGUGGAGGGUCAUUGGAAACUGGAAAACUUGAGUGCAGAAGAGGAAAGUGGAAUUCCAUGUGUAGCGGUGAAAUGCGCAGAGAUAUGGAGGAACACCAGUGGCGAAGGCGACUUUCUGGUCUGUAACUGACGCUGAUGUGCGAAAGCGUGGGGAUCAAACAGGAUUAGAUACCCUGGUAGUCCACGCCGUAAACGAUGAGUGCUAAGUGUUAGGGGGUUUCCGCCCCUUAGUGCUGCAGCUAACGCAUUAAGCACUCCGCCUGGGGAGUACGACCGCAAGGUUGAAACUCAAAGGAAUUGACGGGGACCCGCACAAGCGGUGGAGCAUGUGGUUUAAUUCGAAGCAACGCGAAGAACCUUACCAAAUCUUGACAUCCUCUGACCCCUCUAGAGAUAGAGUUUUCCCCUUCGGGGGACAGAGUGACAGGUGGUGCAUGGUUGUCGUCAGCUCGUGUCGUGAGAUGUUGGGUUAAGUCCCGCAACGAGCGCAACCCUUAAGCUUAGUUGCCAUCAUUAAGUUGGGCACUCUAAGUUGACUGCCGGUGACAAACCGGAGGAAGGUGGGGAUGACGUCAAAUCAUCAUGCCCCUUAUGAUUUGGGCUACACACGUGCUACAAUGGACAAUACAAAGGG
rnacentral:rRNA from 1 species